rfam:Lupinus angustifolius cultivar Tanjil chromosome LG15, whole genome shotgun sequence.
AGAGAGACGACUGAGUGGUUGAUAGCCUCAGUCUUGAAAACUGGUACAGUUCAAAACAAAGAACUAUCGAGGAUUCGAAUCCCUCUCUCCCCC